rnacentral:rRNA from 1 species
AUGACCGGCGCUGCUCGCUCGGCACGAGGCGGCGGGGAGGGGGCCGCCGGGAUGGAGGGGAAGGGCGCGGUGGCGGCCGGGCUGGUGGGGUUCCUCGGGAUGGGGCUCGACAGGGUGCGGCUGCCGCUGCCGGAGAAGCUGUCGGCCAAGGCGCUGCGGAGCCACGUGCGGGGGCACGGCUCGCGGGAGGCGCGGGAGCGCUGGUGGCGCUGGACGCUCUUCCUCUGGGUGGUCGGCUGGACGCUCAUCUGCCUGCAGAUCUUCCACUACUUCGACUCCGGCGCCGUGGAGAAGCGCCGGGAGUCGCUCGCCAGCAUGUGCGACGAGCGCGCCCGCAUGCUCCAGGACCAGUUCAACGUCAGCAUGAACCACCUCCAGGCGCUCGCCAUCCUCGUCAACACCUUCCACCACUCGCUCAACCCCUCCGCCAUCACCCAGGCGACGUUCGCGAGGUACGCGGAGAGGACGGCGUUCGAGCGGCCGCUGACGAGCGGGGUGGCGUACGCGGUGCGGGUCACGCACGCCGAGCGGGACCACUUCGAGCGGCAGCAGGGCUGGAGCAUCAAGAAGAUGUACUCCUCCCCCAACUCGCAGGGCCCCGGCGACGCCGCCGUCGCCGAGAUCCGCGGCCCGGCCGACGAGUACGCCCCCGUCAUCUUCGCGCAGGACGCCUACAAGAACGUCAUCUCCUUCGACAUGCUCUCCGGCGCUGACGAUCGCGAGAACAUAAUACGAGCCAGAGAAUCCGGGAAGGGUGUUCUAACUGCUCCUUUCCAGCUGCUCAACGGCCGCCUCGGCGUGAUCUUGACGUACUCCGUGUACAAGUCCGAGCCCCCCGCGAAUGCGAGGCCGCAGGAGCGCGUCCAAGCCGCCAUAGGCUAUCUAGGUGGCAUAUUUGACAUAGAAGCGCUCGUCGACAAGUUGCUUCAUCAGCUCGCGGGGAAGCAGUCCAUCAUGGUGAAUGUGUAUGAUACUACCAAUGACAAGCCGAUCAGCAUGUAUGGUUCGGAUGAUACAGGCAGUGGGAUGUACCAUAAUAGCACGCUCAACUUUGGCGAUCCAUCUAGGCGGCAUGAGAUGCAUUGCAGGUUCAUGCAAAAGCCACCAUUGCCAUGGCUUGCAAUAACAUAUUCGUUAGGGGCUUAUGUGAUUGCUUUGCUCAUUGGACAUAUAUUUUAUGCUACUGUGCAUCGUAUCGCAAAAGUUGAAGAUGAUCUUCAAAUUAUGAAGAAGCUCAAGAAGUGUGCGGAAGCUGCAGAUGUUGCCAAGUCACAGUUCCUGGCUACAGUUUCACAUGAGAUCAGAACUCCAAUGAAUGGGGUUUUAGGAAUGCUCCAAAUGCUCAUGGAUACUGAUCUGGACGCAACGCAGCAAGACUAUGUUAGAACAGCCCAAGCCAGCGGAAAAGCUUUAGUGUCCCUCAUAAAUGAGGUUCUUGAUCAGGCGAAGAUAGAAGCUGGCAAACUCGAGCUUGAGGCAGUGCCCUUUGAUCUUAGACUAGUCUGUGAUGACAUCUUGUCUCUCUUCUGUGGAAAAGCUCAGGAGAAAGGACUGGAGUUGGCAGUGUACGUCUCUGAUCAAGUUCCACAAACACUUAUUGGCGAUCCGGGUAGAAUGAGGCAAAUCAUUACAAAUCUCAUGGGGAACUCCAUAAAAUUUACAGAAAGAGGGCAUAUCUACUUGACAGUUCAUGUCGUCGAAGAGGUCAUGAGUUGUUUAGAGGUGGAAACAGAAUUUCAAAACACAAACAACACCUACAACACCUUAAGUGGCUACCAGGUAGCUAACAGAAGGCAGAGUUGGCAGAGCUUCCAACUUUUCAAUACGGAUUUACACUUGUCUGAGAUGACCUUUGCUCCCAUCAUGCCUGAAACAAUAAGAUUGAUAAUAUCUGUUGAAGAUACCGGCGUCGGCAUCCCACCUGAAGCCCAAUCCCGGAUAUUCAUGCCUUUCAUGCAGGUUGGUCCAUCCAUUGCCCGCAUCCAUGGGGGCACUGGCAUCGGGUUAAGCAUCAGCAAGUGCCUGGUUCAUCUCAUGAAGGGGGAGAUUGGGUAUGUAAGCAUACCCAAUGUUGGUUCUACUUUCUCCUUCACUGCAGUGCUUACGAAGGCACGCUCCAAUGCAAAUGCUAACAAAUCGCCAGGGUUUAAAGGGAUAAAUGCAUUGGUAGUUGAUCAUAAGCCGGUUCGUGCCAAGGUUACCAAGUACCAUUUGCAAAGGCUUGGAGUCAAAACGGAAUUGACCACUGAUGUAAACCAAGUUAUUCCUAAGAUGAACUGCGCAUCACUAGUUACAAGGCUAGUGCUAGUUGACAAGGAAACCUGGAUGAAGGAAUCCCAUUCAAUGCCUCAUUUGCUUAGCAAACUGCGGAGCAAAGAUCAGUCAGACCCUCCGAAGCUCUUCCUUUUGGAGAACCCUACUAAUUCUAUCAAGAGCGGUUCAAAUAUAUCGAGGGAGCAUAACUUGAAUGUAAUCAUGAAGCCGCUUCGUGCAAGUAUGCUUCAGGCUUCACUAAGGCGGGCUUUGGGCGGAGUAGAUAAGGUGAAUGGAAAGAAUGGAGUCGUUGGCAACUCAGCGUUGGGUAGCCUUCUUCACAAGAGGCAAAUCAUUGUGGUUGACGACAACGUUGUGAACCUUAAAGUGGCUGCUGGUGCUCUCAAGAAGUAUGGUGCAGAAGUAAUUUGUGCAGACAGUGGGAAGAAAGCAAUCGCAUUGCUAAAACCACCUCACAGUUUUGAUGCUUGUUUCAUGGACAUACAAAUGCCAGAAAUGGAUGGGUUUGAAGCCACCAAGAGGAUCAGAAUGAUGGAACGAGAGCUAAAUGAGCGGAUAGAACGCGGAGAAGCGCCACCAGAAUGUGCUAACGUUCGGAGGUGGCGAACUCCGAUAUUGGCCAUGACGGCAGAUGUUAUCCAGGCAACAUGUGAGCAGUGCUUGAAAUGUGAAAUGGAUGGCUAUGUCUCCAAGCCAUUCGAAGGGGAGCAGUUGUACAGAGAAGUAACUCGAUUUUAA